CUCUAAACAAGAUGAACCCACGCCCAAACGGCACAGUGUUUCACUCAAUGAUACUGAGCCAUGGAAGCUUAUGGAAGAGUUUAAAAGACUUCAGAGAGAAAUGAGGAAACUGUCAAAAGGAAAAUCUACACCUGAGGGAGGAAGGCUUAAGGCUCUGAAAGGUGGCACAUCCAAGAGAAGCCUGGCUGGGCCUCUGCGUCCUUCAGAGACAAACGUCACCAGUCCUCUCCCCUCACUCCUUGUUGUGAUUGCAACCAUCUUCACUGGGUUCUUUCUAGGGAAGUUCAUCUUGUAGGGUGAAGCAUGAAAGUGCUGUUUCUUUUCUUUUUUUCUCCUGACCAGAAAAAAAGAUUUGUUUACGAACCAUUUCACUGGUGGUAGGACCUGCAGUGACCCUGUGAGUUUGUGUGUGUGUGUCUACAGCAUCAGUACAGGCUUUGCCUCUAAUGAACUCUUAUGGUUAGAAAACACAGUAAAAACUGUUGGCUGCUGGACAGGUUGUCUAUCACCAGGUCUUCACUAGCAGGUGUCAGUGGCACACACCACUCAUAAAAUUCAUAAUAAAGAGUUGUUUUCUUUGUGCUUUUAAUAGUUCAAAGACUUGUUCAGAUUCUUGUAAAUGUUAUUUUAAUAAUCCCUUUAAAUUUUAUCUGUUGCUGUUACCUCUUGAAAUAUGAUUUGUUUAGGUUGCUAAUAUCUCUCAUUCAGGAAAUGCCAAGGGAUGUUCUGUGGGGAAAUGGUGCCUCUUACCAUAAACAUUUUCUCCUUUACCUUUGCUAACCAUGGCAGAAUUUUUUGUACCCUAUGAGGCAACUGUUCACCGCGUUUUUUCAUCCUUACAAUCCUAUCCCAUGGUAUUUAACAUAUAAUAAUAAAACUUUUAACAGAUUGUUGCUCAAUAAAAAUUCAUUAAAAGUGAAGGAUACGUAUCUAGCAAAAGUUCUUUAGAAAAAUCCUUUUAUGGAUUUAUAAAUUCAAGUAGGAUAGACAGGAGAGGAGAGUAAGAGGAAAUAAAAAGAAUUAAGAUGUAUAAUGUACAUGUAUCAACUCCCCACUAUGAAUGCAAUCAUUACAUACAUUGAAUGGGUACCAUAGUAAAAUAAAAAUUUUUAAAGUCAAGGACAUUCUAAAUGGCCUUGAUAUUACUAACUUGUAUUCCUUUUUUUAAAAUGUUGCAUUAGAAGUUUUAGAACAUUUAGAAACUCUAUGGUUUUACAGGUCACAUUUCAGAUAUCACAACAAAAUGAAGCCAUUGCCACAGACAGCACAGAGACCAACCUGGGGCGGGGGUGGCCUGUCUUAGCACAACUCCUGUAGACACUCAUUAUUUCACAUCAGCCUCCUCCUUCCCAAACCCACUCAGGAUAUUCUCUGAAGGAGACUUUUAAAAAUUGCCUUGGGGCAUAUUCUUUACCCCUGCCAUUCUUUGCACUUUGUGGAAAUAGAACAUUCUACAGGCAUCUAUGGUCUCUUUAAAGACCUGAGUCUCCACACUUGCCUACGCCCUGGGUUCCUGCAUUCUGCUCCUGUGAAGAUGGAAGGACGCUUAAGGGUGUGUGGAGGCUUGAAGGAGGCCAGACCUACUACUCCUGAAAUCCGGAUGGCAGAUAAGGGAUCGAACUCACGACUGCCUGCUUGCAAGCCAGGUGCUUAUGCUGCUGAGCUAAAUCCCCAGCCCCUAUUAAUGUAUAUUUUUGAAAGGAAAUAAAUAUGAGUUAUGCCAUA